UACGGGGGGGGCAAGCGUUGUUCGGAAUUACUGGGCGUAAAGGGCUCGUAGGCGGCCAACUAAGUCGAACGUGAAAUCCCCCGGCUUAACCGGGGAACUGCGUCCGAUACUGGAUGGCUUGAAUCCGGGAGAGGGAUGCGGAAGUCCAGGUGUAGCGGUGAAAUGCGUAGAUAUCUGGAGGAACACCGGUGGCGAAGGCGGCAUCCUGGACCGGUAUUGACGCUGAGGAGCGAAAGCCAGGGGAGCAAACGGG
rnacentral:rRNA from 1 species